rnacentral:lncRNA from 1 species
UAAGGUAAAAACAAAUUGUGAUCUUGAAAUUUGCAAUCUUCGCUAGCCAAGGCUUACGAUCCACUUCCCUUAACUUCACCCUUGGAAGAUUAAGCCACGAUUAGUAAUAACAACGUUGCGAUCGGUAGAUUGAAGUCACGCCAAUUUCCAAUACGUAAUUCUUGAACAAUGGUUGCACUUAAACUCUCUUCAGUGUGGAGGUGAAAACACAGUAUACAUAGCGUCUAGAGUUUACAAAAUUGUCGAAGAAGAAAACGUAAAUCCCUGUUGAAAUUGCAACAUUUGUGCAAGAAUCAUUCACAGAUACUUCUAUUAAAACAUUAAUUUGUCACUUAAUAUCGUCAUAUAUUUGGAGGAGAGCAAUUGUUUACUUAUCAAACAAUCAUCAUAUGUUAAUAGGAGAGUUCACGAUACACUCCAGAUCAAUAGAUACUGAUCACGAAUGGAAUAAGACAGAUAUCGCGAGAAAAAUUAGUAAUUGUAUUUCCAGGCAAAAGAAAUGCCUAUCAGACAUUUUUGUAUUGAUAAUAAUCUUUGAUUAAGUUGUCGUUUAAAUUUUCCCCCAA